rnacentral:rRNA from 1 species
UACGAAGGAGGCUAGCGUUGUUCGGAUUUACUGGGCGUAAAGCGCACGUAGGCGGAUCGUUAAGUCGGGGGUGAAAUCCUGGAGCUCAACUCCAGAACUGCCUUCGAUACUGGCGAUCUUGAGUCCGGAAGAGGUGAGUGGAACUCCUAGUGUAGAGGUGGAAUUCGUAGAUAUUAGGAAGAACACCAGUGGCGAAGGCGGCUCACUGGUCCGGUACUGACGCUGAGGUGCGAAAGCGUGGGGAGCAAACAGG